rnacentral:rRNA from 1 species
ACAGAGAGUAGCUUGCUACUUUGCUGACGAGCGGCGGACGGGUGAGUAAUGCUUGGGAAUAUGCCUUAUGGUGGGGGACAACAGUUGGAAACGACUGCUAAUACCGCAUAACGUCUACGGACCAAAGGGGGGGAUCUUCGGACCUCUCGCCAUUUGAUUAGCCCAAGUGAGAUUAGCUAGUUGGUAAGGUAAAGGCUUACCAAGGCGACGAUCUCUAGCUGGUUUGAGAGGAUGAUCAGCCACACUGGGACUGAGACACGGCCCAGACUCCUACGGGAGGCAGCAGUGGGGAAUAUUGCACAAUGGGCGAAAGCCUGAUGCAGCCAUGCCGCGUGUGUGAAGAAGGCCUUCGGGUUGUAAAGCACUUUCAGUUGUGAGGAAAGGGGUGUAGUUAAUAGCUGCAUCCUGUGACGUUAGCAACAGAAGAAGCACCGGCUAACUUCGUGCCAGCAGCCGCGGUAAUACGAGGGGUGCAAGCGUUAAUCGGAAUUACUGGGCGUAAAGCGUUCGUAGGCGGUUUGUUAAGCAAGAUGUGAAAGCCCCGGGCUCAACCUGGGAACUGCAUUUUGAACUGGCAAACUAGAGUACUGUAGAGGGUGGUGGAAUUUCCAGUGUAGCGGUGAAAUGCGUAGAGAUUG